rnacentral:misc_RNA from 1 species
GUCUUUGGACUUUUAAGUGUUCAUGUCUUUUGAAAUGGAUGAGCAGAGUUCUCCUUUGUUGGUAGUUGUACUGACAAAGAGAUUGAGAUAGUGAGAGAAGGACAUGAGUUAAUUUUUGAUGUUUGUAGUAAUUUGCUCUUGUGUUCCUUAUGUUGUGAGGGUGUUCUCUCACAGGAUGAGGAGUUGAAACGUAUUGAGAUUAUGUUAUGAUGAUUGAUG